UGGGGAAUUUUGGACAAUGGGCGAAAGCCUGAUCCAGCAAUGCCGCGUGUGUGAAGAAGGCCUUCGGGUUGUAAAGCACUUUUGUCCGGAAAGAAAUCCUUGGCUCUAAUACAGUCGGGGGAUGACGGUACCGGAAGAAUAAGCACCGGCUAACUACGUGCCAGCAGCCGCGGUAAUACGUAGGGUGCAAGCGUUAAUCGGAAUUACUGGGCGUAAAGCGUGCGCAGGCGGUUUGCUAAGACCGAUGUGAAAUCCCCGGGCUCAACCUGGGAACUGCAUUGGUGACUGGCAGGCUAGAGUAUGGCAGAGGGGGGUAGAAUUCCACGUGUAGCAGUGAAAUGCGUAGAGAUGUGGAGGAAUACCGAUGGCGAAGGCAGCCCCCUGGCAAGUACUGACGCUCAUGCACGAAAGCGUGGGGAGCAAACGGAUUAAUACCCUGGUAGUCCACGCCCUAAANGAUGUCAACUAGUUGUUGGGGAUUCAUUUCCUUAGUAACGUAGCUAACGCGUGAAGUUGACCGCCUGGGGAGUACGGUCGCAAGAUU
rnacentral:rRNA from 1 species